ACAUACCUCCUAUCACCUGGUCAAAUCCCAUACAUGAUCAAAACUUUAACAUAAAAACUCAAACAUCUGAUGUACAAACCGAGCCUGACCUGUAUGCGACAUAACUGAAAACAUAAAAGGAUCCCCUACUAGAGCCCUCAUCAAAACUCUAGCUGGGUCAACAUAACAUACAUCAAGCUGGGAUUACAUCCAAGGAACUAGAACCUAACCUGUGCAUGCAUCAAACCACACACAUAAGACCUCCACUAAGGUCCUCAUCAAUUAACAUAGCGUGGUAAACAACACAUGCCACAAGAUUAGUUCAAACACAACUCAACAUCUAGCAUAACAUUCAUCAUGUAUUAAACAGGGACUAACCAAAUCUUAGGGCCAAGCACAGUACUAAACCAUAAACAUAACUCCACUUAACUUUACAUUACAUUCUCUUAUGAAUCAUUAUCAAUAUAUAAUACAUGUCCAC
rnacentral:lncRNA from 1 species